rnacentral:pre_miRNA from 1 species
CGGGGGAGGCCGGAUCCUGGGCUGUGUCCCGGCGCCCUGUGCUCCGGAGCCUGCGCUGUUGGAUUCGCGCUCCCGGCCCGAAGCCCCCU